CUCUAGAUACACCACACAUGCUGCUGCUGCUGCUGCUGCUGCAGCUGCUGCUGCUGCAGCAGCUGCUGCUGCAGCAAGUUCUGCUGCAGCUAGUUGUGUUGCAGCAGUUUCCGCCGCUGCUGCUGCUGCUGCUGCAGCUUUUGCUGCAGCUUUUGCUGCAGCAGUUUGUGCUGCUGCUGCUGCUGCUCUUGCUGCAGCAGCAGCAGCAGCAGCAGCAGCAGCAGCAGCAGCAGCAGCAGCAGCAGCUCUUGCAUGCGUUUUAUGCGCGUGUUU
rnacentral:ncRNA from 1 species